UACGGAGGUUGCAAGCGUUAUCCGGAUUUAUUGGGUUUAAAGGGUGCGUAGGCGGGAUAAUAAGUCAGUGGUGAAAACCUGCAGCUUAACUGUAGAACUGCCAUUGAUACUGUUAUUCUUGAGUAUAGUUGAGGUAGGCGGAAUGUGUAGUGUAGCGGUGAAAUGCUUAGAUAUUACACAGAACACCGAUUGCGUAGGCAGCUUACUAAACUAUAACUGACGCUGAGGCACGAAAGCGUGGGGAUCAAACAGG
rnacentral:rRNA from 1 species